UACGUAGGGUGCAAGCGUUGUCCGGAAUUAUUGGGCGUAAAGAGCUUGUAGGCGGUUUGUCGCGUCUGCUGUGAAAUUUCGGGGCUCAACCCCGAACUUGCAGUGGGUACGGGCAGACUAGAGUGUGGUAGGGGAGACUGGAAUCCUGGUGUAGCGGUGAAAUGCGCAGAUAUCAGGAGGAACACCGAUGGCGAAGGCAGGUCUCUGGGCCAUAACUGACGCUGAGAAGCGAAAGCAUGGGGAGCGAACAGGA
rnacentral:rRNA from 1 species